GAUGAACGCUAGCUACAGGCUUAACACAUGCAAGUCGAGGGGCAGCAUUUUAGUUUGCUUGCAAACUAAAGAUGGCGACCGGCGCACGGGUGAGUAACACGUAUCCAACCUGCCGAUAACUCGGGGAUAGCCUUUCGAAAGAAAGAUUAAUAUCCGAUGGUAUAUUAAAAUCGCAUGGUUUUACUAUUAAAGAAUUUCGGUUAUCGAUGGGGAUGCGUUCCAUUAGUUUGUUGGCGGGGUAACGGCCCACCAAGACUACGAUGGAUAGGGGUUCUGAGAGGAAGGUCCCCCACAUUGGAACUGAGACACGGUCCAAACUCCUACGGGAGGCAGCAGUGAGGAAUAUUGGUCAAUGGACGAGAGUCUGAACCAGCCAACUAGCGUGAAGGAUGACUGCCCUAUGGGUUGUAAACUUCUUUUAUAUGGGAAUAAAGUAUUCCACGUGUGGAAUUUUGUAUGUACCAUAUGAAUAAGGAUCGGCUAACUCCGUGCCAGCAGCCGCGGUAAUACGGAGGAUCCGAGCGUUAUCCGGAUUUAUUGGGUUUAAAGGGAGCGUAGGUGGAUUGUUAAGUCAGUUGUGAAAGUUUGCGGCUCAACCGUAAAAUUGCAGUUGAAACUGGCAGUCUUGAGUACAGUAGAGGUGGGCGGAAUUCGUGGUGUAGCGGUGAAAUGCUUAGAUAUCACGAAGAACUCCGAUUGCGAAGGCAGCUCACUAGACUGCAACUGACACUGAUGCUCGAAAGUGUGGGUAUCAAACAGGAUUAGAUACCCUGGUAGUCCACACAGUAAACGAUGAAUACUCGCUGUUUGCGAUAUACAGUAAGCGGCCAAGCGAAAGCAUUAAGUAUUCCACCUGGGGAGUACGCCGGCAACGGUGAAACUCAAAGGAAUUGACGGGGGCCCGCACAAGCGGAGGAACAUGUGGUUUAAUUCGAUGAUACGCGAGGAACCUUACCCGGGCUUAAAUUGCAUUUGAAUAAUCUGGAAACAGGUUAGCCGCAAGGCAAAUGUGAAGGUGCUGCAUGGUUGUCGUCAGCUCGUGCCGUGAGGUGUCGGCUUAAGUGCCAUAACGAGCGCAACCCUUAUCUUUAGUUACUAACAGGUCAUGCUGAGGACUCUAGAGAGACUGCCGUCGUAAGAUGUGAGGAAGGUGGGGAUGACGUCAAAUCAGCACGGCCCUUACGUCCGGGGCUACACACGUGUUACAAUGGGGGGUACAGAAGGCAGCUACCUGGCGACAGGAUGCUAAUCCCAAAAACCUCUCUCAGUUCGGAUCGAAGUCUGCAACCCGACUUCGUGAAGCUGGAUUCGCUAGUAAUCGCGCAUCAGCCAUGGCGCGGUGAAUACGUUCCCGGGCCU
rnacentral:rRNA from 1 species